UGACGUUAAGCAAAUCCCAGAAAUAACGUCCCAGUUCGGAUUGUAGUCUGCAACCCGACUACAUGAAGCUGGAAUCGCUAGUAAUCGCGAAUCAGAAUGUCGCGGUGAAUACGUUCCCGGGUCUUGUACACACCGCCCGUCACACCAUGGGAGUCGGAAAUGCCCGAAGUCAGUGACCCAACCGUAAGGAGGGAGCUGCCGAAGGUGGAGCCGGUAACUGGGGUGAAGUCGUAACAAGGUACC
rnacentral:rRNA from 1 species